UCGAAGAUGACACAGAGCUGUGCCCUAGUCAGAUCUUGGAGUGAAGAAUUCCAGCAACUCUUGGAUUUCAGUAUAAACCAGUGGCUUUGAAUCAAGGACUUUGACGCGAGA